CCUCUCCCUCCCUAUCUCUCUCGGGUCCCGUGAAUGCGUGUGAGCAGUAACUCCUCACUAGUACAACACACGCGCUAUAACUCGCUUCGGAUCAAGGGUUUUUCUUACUCAUUUAUUCCACCCUCGUUAGUAGAGAGUAGUGUUUUUUUCCUUGCUGUGGUGAUGCAAGUUGUGAUUUAUUAUUCAGCCAGCUCUCCCUAAGACUAGCGCUAAGGACCUUGUAGACGUGGUAGCGAGAGGGUUAACCGUUGCUCGUCUCUGGCAAUUGUUUCUCUCCGUCGCCGCCGGCCUGGGCGUAAACAUUGAAUGUGACAGACGCGUUUGAGUUGUGGAAUUCCUCGGUGGAUUGUGGUAGUCGUCAGUGAGUACUGCGAGUGAGUGAGUGAGUCGUAUUCUCUCGUCGUCGUCGGAGAUUGUCGUCGUGUGAGUUCUUUUGGAAGGAGAACCCAAAAAAAAAACACCAAGUAGAACGUGAGACGGGGAUUGAGUGAGAGAGGCAGAGAGAAAAAGAGACAAGAUAGAGAGAGA